CGGCGACACCGGCGGCCGCGGGCGCACGUAGGCUCGGUCCCACGCCCUCCCCUCCCUGGCACCUCUUCCCGGUCCUGUUUCCCGCUGGCGCGCCGUUGAAGCCCACCCCAUAGCAGCCGUCCGACCUUAGUCGCACCUUUUUCCUCCGGUGGUCACACCGAGCGCCCCUCCCCGGCCUCACUGCCCACCGGUGCUCCACUCGGACACAGAGCCUCACCCCCAACCUGAAUCACUGCCCUCCCGGACCUCCCGUCCAGAGGUCACCAGGUCCAUCCCCCUGUCCCAACCUCUCAGCUCCGGUGGGGACGGGUGGGGGGGUUCAGCCGGUCCCACCUCGUCCAGUCCCGAGGUGAGCCAUCUUGUUAAAAUGCAGGCCUGGUAUGGUCCGUCCCCGUUUGAACCUUUGGUGUCGUCCAUGCCCUCAGGCUGCUGAGAUCCCCUCUGCACCCGCACCCCUCCCACUGGCUCUGUCUAGCCCUUCACUGGCCUUGUAUCCUUCUGGAACUACCUGUCUUCACCCGUCCUGCCCACCCUUCCCACCUCCUGUCCGGGUACUGGACCCACUUUGUAAACCCCUAACCAAGCCGCAAGAGUGCAACGCGGGUGUGCUGGCUCCGUGUGCCCAUGCCUGCGGCUGUGCUGGACCUGGCAGGAGUCGGGUAAAUACUGAGGAGUGAGGGAGUAUUGAGGAGUGGGGGAUGUUUUUGAGGAGUGAGGGGAGUAUUGAGGGAGGAUAUUGAUGAGUGGGGAGGUGUCAAUGAGUGAGAGGGUAAUGAUGAAUGAGUGGGGAUAGGGAGGAGUGGGUGGGUAUCAACAAGUAAAGGGGUAUUGAUGUUGAAGAGUGAGGGGGGAAGGAGUGAAGGAGGCCUGCUUAGGUGGAGGAAGCAGCUGCUGUCAAACACAGUUUUCCUUCUGCUGCAGUUGAUGUCUCAGUAGCCAGCAAACGUUUGGCACCUACUCAGUGCCAGCCAGAGGCCAGGCUGAGGAACUGCCCCCUCCCACAGGGUCACUUUCAGAGGCUCAGGUAGGGAGGGCUGUGCCAAGGCUUCUGUCUGCCUGCUCUGGACUGCCCGUGCUGUUUUUCCAGCCAAUCCCAGUGGGAGCCAGUGGGGCCCUGCCCUUCUCCCAGGAAGCAGUUCCUGAGGUCCUGGGACCAUGUGUCCCAAGGUGUUGGGGGAACAGCCUGGCUAGGGCCUGGGGCUCUGAGGUGAAAGGAUACAUUCUUCUGAUUCUGGGGAGGAUAGAGGCAGCUGAAGCCCCCCCACACCCCCUCACCUCCCUAGUACCGGCUCUGGCAGGGAGCAGGGACUCUGACUGCUGAGGUGUGCAGAGGAGUGGGUGUGACUUUUUAGAGGCCCUAAGAUAUCCUGCCCCCACCCCAGGCCCCCAGAAAGUCUGUUUGCUUGGUGCCAGGGUGAGGUGGCCUCCCCUGGAUCACACUGUGCCUCUGAGUAUGUAGAUGGUUGGGGCAAGCAGGAAGGGGUGGUAUGCCCUCUUGACUGUUCGCUCCAGUUUGUGGUGGCAGGAGGGUGGCCUGAUUCUCAGGGCCCAGGGAGAUCCCUGAAGAAGCCUGGCUGUCUGAAUCAGGACCUGCCUCCGGGACUCCUCAGGGUGUGUAUUUCUGUUUGAGCCAGCUCAUAGGAACUGCUUUUGCUUCUGGGGGACCCCAGGCUGGGCUCUGCUCCCUGGGAGCAGGGCCUGGACUGAGCUCUGCAGGCUCCACCCCCACCCUGACUCACUGGCUGACCCUUUCCUUGGGCUCUUUCACUAUCUUUAUUCCUUUCCUGACUUGGCCAUCCGUGCUCUGGCUGGACCUUUUAGUCUCAUCUCUUGGCUCUGCCAGUCUCGGCCUCUGUACUCCUGGGACAAGCUCCAGAUCCAGGGCCUCUUCCUCCGACCUGACCCCAAAGCAGUGUCAGGAAGGGGUGCUUCCUCAUUUCCUUCCAAGGCUGCAGAUCCUGCUAGAGUUCAUCCCCAGAACCUGCGGCCAUAGCUUCCCUGUGUCCAUGUGUCCCUGCCUGCAGCCCUGGAGCUUACGGGUCCCUCACCUCACAUUCCCACUCCGCAGGCAUCUCUGGGGCAGGGCCUGGGUGUUGGCUCCAACCUGCUUCCUUGCAUCUCUUUCCAGGUUUAUGCUUGGGGAACAGGGAGCCUCCUGAGAUGCUUGCAUUGGCACCUGCCUGCAGCCCUCAGAGCUGCCCCUUCUGGGUACGACUCUAGCUCACACUCUCUGGCACAGGCUGGGGGAUGGGCACAUGACCCUCCCUCCUUAAACUGUGGCAGGAGCUGGAGAUCACACUGACCAGUCACUUCCCAGAAUCUCACGUGCUUAAAUCUUGUUUCUGUGUUUAUACCUGAUGUACUGCACCUGCCUCUGCCGGGCCUCAGGUACCCUCUGUAUGCUAGACUCUGCUCUAGGUGUGGGCACAGUGAUGCUGCGCAGAGAGGCCCUCGCUGGCAUGGGGGAGGGAAUGGGGAGACUGUUGCCAGAGGGUGCAAUGAAGGCUGUGGUGGGGGACUCCCAGGGCCCUGGUAUCCAGAGAGCCCUGUAGUCAGGGAGGAGGAGUGGGGUAUUAGGGAGGCCCUUGUUAGGAUGUGGCUCCUAAAGGGGGUGCAAGGACCAGGAGGAGGGCAGGUCACACCACUGAGGGCACUCCAGCACAGCUGGAGUAUAAAAUGAGGGGCUGGGGUAGGGAGAGUCUCACCUGAGAUGAGUCUGGAGGGGAGGUGACAGCCAGGCAUGGGGUGGCAGGUACAUGUAUGACUUGUUAAGAUCACUGGCUACAGGGCAAAGAAUGGCUUUGGGGAGAGGGUAGGAGCAGAGGCAGCGGACAUGAGUAGUAGGAGUGGGGACAGAGACAUGAGGGUAAUAAACUGCUGAGUGAAGAUGACAUGUAUAAAAUGCAUAGCAUAUAUGAAUCUUAGGCAUACAGUUAGGUGAAUUUUUAGUUUGUGACACCCAUGGAACCACACCCAGACCAACAGGGAACAUUUCCAGGCCCCCUGAAGAGUCCCUUAUGACUAUCUCCAGUGCACCCCCCACCCCCAUUCUGACCUGAAUCAUUCAUUACCAGUUGGGUUUGCCAUUUUUUGACCAUCGUUCUCAUGUGUUCCUGUCUGGCUUCCUUCACUCAGCAUGACGUCAGUGAGAUUUAUCUGUGUUGUGUAUCCAGGGAGCUCAUUUUUUUCCACGGUGUAGAAUGACACAUUCACCAAGCAUUUACCACUGUUCUAAGAACUUGACAUUUAUUGAUUCACGUAAACCUUCCAACCCUAUGAGGUUUUAAGACCAAGAAUUGGAGACACAGAGAGGUUAAAGCACUUGCCCAGGGUCACCCAGGCAAAUAAUAGCCAACUGGGUUCAAGUGCAGACAGUCUGAUUCUGGAGCCAAGGUUCUUAACACUAUGCUGGGUGGCCUCCCUGACGCCUACUGAGUCUGUGGCCUGGCCUUGAGUGGAUUCAUGAGCUAAUGUGUACGUUAUAAUAAACUAGGCGGCUGGAUGUGGAUGGAGGGGGAGUUGAGGAUGACUGCAGGUUUCUGGCUUGAGUAACUCGGUGGGUGGCGGUGCUGUUACUAAGAUAGGGAACACAGGAAGAGGAACAGAUGGCACGGGGGGCAGGGAACAGACAAGGGGUUUGAUUUGGGGCCUGUGGAAUUUUGUGUGUCUAAUGGACGGCCAGGCAGUUACCAAGUGGGCAUUUGGUUUUGGGGAUUCUCAAGCUUGGGUGUGUGAUUAGGGAGGCAUUCAGCAGCCUAUAGACAGUGUCUAGAGUUUGGGAAAGGUCUCUCAGCAGGACUGUGAAGGGGGCAAGAUGCACGAGUGUGGUUUGUCUGCAUGUUGUUCCUGUGUGUCUUGAGUGUUGCGGUGGCCUGCACUUGAACAUGGGGCAGCCUGGCUCUGGGUCAUGAAUUCCCCCAUCUCCUGGGAGGGCCUGCAGGUCAGCUGGGAGCUGGGUUGUUUUUGUUUGUGGUUUGACCCUGAGGUGGAGGGGGGCUGCCAAGCUUAAGGAACUACCCUCUCAGAAGCCCCGGAAGCACCUGUGCGUCCUCCCCAGCCAGGCUGGAGGUUAGCAAGGAGGGGAGCUUCUGCUUCUCUUGUGUCUGCAGGGAGAGGCUAUCCCUGGGUGGCUGUCUGCGGGAGGAAGAGGGGGAAGCAGGCCGGUGCUCCUGAGGGCUGUGGGCACCCCCACCGAGGCACACAGCUGCAACGUGUGAAUCACCCAACCAGCUGCGCCGCCAUGACCGGGCUGCGGAAGAGGAAGCUUGACCAGCUGGACGAGGACUCCUCCUCGCUCUGCUCGUCCUCCUCACUGUCGUCGGGCCACCACUCCCGCUCCUGCUCCCCGAGCUCAUCCGUCUGCCUGGCCUGGGACUCGGACGAGGAGGGCCCCUGGGAUCAGACGCCGCUGCCUGACCGUGAUGCCUGUGGCCCCCAGAAAGCUGCCCGUGAGUCCCCCCUACCGGGACGCCUGCCACACCCCGUCUUCCUUCCUGAGAAUGAAACCGUGUCCCUGCGCUUGUGCUUCCCGCCCUGUCCCCUUCCCGGGCUGAGCGACGUCCACCGUCGGGGCACGGGGCCACACCUCCCGCGCCGCGCCUGGCGGACGGAGGGCCGGCUCCUCCCCCGGCUCCAGUUCCGCCUCUCCGGGGCUGCCGCGGCUCCCUCCUGCCGCGCGCUGCUGGCUCUGCCAGAACUGGGUGGAAAG